rnacentral:rRNA from 1 species
AAGUCGAACGAGCCUUCGGGCUAGUGGCGGACGGGUGAGUAACGCGUGAGAAUCUGCCCUCAGGAGGGGGAUAACGGCUGGAAACGGCCGCUAAUACCCCAUAUGCCGCGAGGUGAAAUGAGAAAUCGCCUGAGGAUGAGCUCGCGUCUGAUUAGCUAGUUGGUGGGGUAAGAGCCUACCAAGGCAUCGAUCAGUAGCUGGUCUGAGAGGAUGAUCAGCCACACUGGGACUGAGACACGGCCCAGACUCCUACGGGAGGCAGCAGUGGGGAAUUUUCCGCAAUGGGCGCAAGCCUGACGGAGCAACGCCGCGUGAGGGAUGAAGGCCUCUGGGCUGUAAACCUCUUUUCUCAAGGAAGAAGAACUGACGGUACUUGAGGAAUAAGCCACGGCUAAUUCCGUGCCAGCAGCCGCGGUAAUACGGGAGUGGCAAGCGUUAUCCGGAAUUAUUGGGCGUAAAGCGUCCGCAGGCGGUCUUGAAAGUCUGUUGUUAAAGCGUGGAGCUCAACUCCAUUUCAGCAAUGGAAACUAGAAGACUAGAGUGUGGUAGGGGCAGAGGGAAUUCCCGGUGUAGCGGUGAAAUGCGUAGAUAUCGGGAAGAACACCAGUGGCGAAGGCGCUCUGCUGGGCCAUAACUGACGCUCAUGGACGAAAGCCAGGGGAGCGAAAGGGAUUAGAUACCCCUGUAGUCCUGGCCGUAAACGAUGAACACUAGGUGUCGGGGGAAUCGACCCCCUCGGUGUCGUAGCCAACGCGUUAAGUGUUCCGCCUGGGGAGUACGCACGCAAGUGUGAAACUCAAAGGAAUUGACGGGGGCCCGCACAAGCGGUGGAGUAUGUGGUUUAAUUCGAUGCAACGCGAAGAACCUUACCAGGGUUUGACAUCCUGCGAAUCUUUUGGAAACAGAAGAGUGCCUUCGGGAGCGCAGAGACAGGUGGUGCAUGGCUGUCGUCAGCUCGUGUCGUGAGAUGUUGGGUUAAGUCCCGCAACGAGCGCAACCCACGUCUUUAGUUGCCAGCAUUGAGUUGGGCACUCUAGAGAGACCGCCGGUGAUAAACCGGAGGAAGGUGUGGAUGACGUCAAGUCAUCAUGCCCCUUACAUCCUGGGCUACACACGUACUACAAUGCUACGGACAGAGGGCAGCAAACUCGCGAGAGCUAGCAAAUCCCAUAAACCGUGGCUCAGUUCAGAUCGUAGGCUGCAACUCGCCUACGUGAAGGAGGAAUCGCUAGUAAUCGCAGGUCAGCAUACUGCGGUGAAUACGUUCCCGGGCCUUGUACACACCGCCCGUCACACC